UUACUUUUUAUCCAGUGAUUCAGCGAAACAACCUCAAAACCAGUCUCCAAUGAGAGGCAGGAAGAACCAAACCCUCAAACAUCAGUGAUCCUGUGAGGUUUCUGCCUUGUGGAACUUUCCUUAAAAUAACUGCAUCAGGAGAUUGUCCAGUUGGGGGUAGAAGAAGAGGAAAACCUGAAAGCAGAGUCUUGGGGCUCCUGAAGGAUUCAGAUUUGGAAGCCGAGGCAUGGCUGGGUUGCAAACCCAGUCUGUCUGCAUACUGUUAGUCAUGUGCUACUGCCUCAGGUAUCCAGUUCCUCAAGAGGAUAGCUGGAGUCACCAGUGGCUGGGAAACUGAGAGGUCCCCAAGAGGCUACUGGAAGAUUCUGUCCCAGGUGGAACCUGUUACUUGCCCAGAGUCCAGUGAGACUGAAGGUGGCCACCCCGGAAGGCCCAGGUUCACCUGCUGCGUAAACACUGAAUGGAGAUCGGUCGUGAUAGAGCAAUGGCAGGUGUCCAUCUGUCUGUCCAAGUCUGUGUUCCUGCUCCUUGGUCCUCUCUCUUAAAGGCUUUAGGAAGGUCCUGUGCUCAGGACCAGGGCGAUAAACAUCAUCUCCUUAUUUGGGAGGCAGGAAGUUGCUCCCCACCCCCACCCUCUUUUGUUCUUCCAGAACUCCCACUCCAUGCCCCCUCUCUUCAGUUUCCUGCUUCCUGAGGGUCUUCGAGCUGGUGGGGGACCUGGAUUACAAUUGCUACUCACUGAUUUGAGAUCCAGCAAGAGAGUGCGGCUUGUGUGAGCCAGCGGGCGGGAAUGAAUAUGUCGGGUAAAGGGGAAAGGCGGGGGCCAGGGUCACGUAGAACAAGCCAGUCCCAAGAACCUAAAAUUAGCUCUGGGAACUGGAAUGUUAGGGCUCCAGGGAACCACAGCUGUGAAAAGAAAGCACGAGACAAGGAAGGAAAAUGCACCCCGCCCACACCCACACAAAUGACUCGCUCACUCUCUCUGCCCCGGGGUCUCCACAGCUUUUAACCCACCCCCAUAAUAUCUCUGGCUGAGCUCACCAGGCUGGUCAGUGGGAAUCCCCCCUCUACGAGCACGCUUUCAUUAUCGCUGGAGACUGCGGGACAGUGUGGUCUAGGAUUCCUGAUAGGAAAAGGUUUAAUUGGAAACAGGAAAGAAGAAGACAAGUUCGGGUCUGGGGUGGUGACCACAAUGAGAAAAUGACAGGCCCACUAAAGUGAGAGGGUGACAGUGCAGAAGGGACACAAGGCAAGGGGGGCAUGUCACAUGCUGGAAGGCCCCCUGGGAGAGCUGGGCACAUGGGAGACAGACAGCAGGCAUGCUGAGCAGGGGAAGCAGAGUGGAAAAGGGCUUGAGGAAGGGGAGCUGGGGAGAAGCUGGGGGCUGUGCACCCCUUUGCACACAUAGAAUGAUUGGCUGUGUUGUGUUUUUUUUUUGUUUUUUUGUUUUUUGUUUUUUUGUUUUUUUUUUUUUAAAGACCACACAUUACUGAGUGUGAAAGUCUGUGUUUUCAAGUGUCUAGAGCUCAUGCAUCAAACACAGGCCAUGGAGAAGAAUGUCAGGGAGAGGAGAGAGGCCAAACCUGAGAUGGAACCUGUAGAGAGCCAUCCUUUACAAGCUGGGCUUGAAAUUCAGGUCCUGGAAACCGAUGGAGGGGAAGUAGGGGGUGAGGGGGAUAAGGGGAUGGAUGCAAGCACUAGGUUUCUUCUGUCCGAGUGGGAGAGCUUGAUAUUCAAGGAUUUUUGCUAAAAAUCAGCUAAGGUUUCAUCUUUGUGGAAUAGCAACUGGGUAUCUAGAGCCAUGCAGUUCUGCCCACCCUGGAGAGGUUGGAGGCUAGGGCUGUGGGUGGGCGAGAGAACCUUUGUGAAAACCACUUUGGAAAGGG